rnacentral:ribozyme from 1 species
UAGUAAACAAACAAACAAAAAAGGAAAAAAAAGAAAGAAACCACAGCUCAGAUGUUCAACUGUGUCUUUGUUACCAAUUUUUGUACAUCUUUCUUAUUAUGAAUAC